AUUCCGUAGGUGAACCUGCGGAAGGAUCAUUACAGAGUUCAUGCCCUCACGGGUAGAUCUCCCACCCUUGAAUAUUUAUACCUUAGUUGCUUUGGCAGGCCGUGGAAACACCAUGGGCUCCGGCUUAUGCGUGCCUGCCAGAGGAAACAAACUCUGUUUUUAGUGAUGUCUGAGUACUAUAUAAUAGUUAAAACUUUCAACAACGGAUCUCUUGGUUCUG
rnacentral:misc_RNA from 1 species